UACAGAGGUCUCAAGCGUUGUUCGGAUUCAUUGGGCGUAAAGGGUGCGUAGGCGGCGCGGUAAGUCGGGUGUGAAAUCUCGGGGCUUAACUCCGAAACUGCAUUCGAUACUGCCGUGCUUGAGGACUGGAGAGGAGACUGGAAUUUACGGUGUAGCGGUGAAAUGCGCAGAUAUCAGGAGGAACACCAAUGGCGAAGGCAGCACUCUGGGACGUGACUGACGCUGAGACGCGAAAGCGUGGGGAGCAAACAGG
rnacentral:rRNA from 1 species